rnacentral:rRNA from 1 species
UGGGGGAUAUUGCACAAUGGGCGAAAGCCUGAUGCAGCGACGCCGCGUGGGGGAUGAAGGCCUUCGGGUUGUAAACUUCUUUUGCUCUGAACAAGGCAUGCUAAUGGGUGUGUUGAGUGUAGGGGUUGAUUAGCGCCGGCUAACUACGUGCCAGCAGCCGCGGUAAUACGUAGGGCGCGAGCGUUGUCCGGAAUUAUUGGGCGUAAAGGGCUUGUAGGUGGCUGGUUGCGUCUGUCGUGAAAGCUCAUGGCUUAACUGUGGGUUUGCGGUGGGUACGGGCUGGCUUGAGUGCAGUAGGGGAGGCUGGAAUUCCUGGUGUAGCGGUGGAAUGCGCAGAUAUCAGGACGAAUACCGGUGGCGAAGGCGGGUCUCUGGGCUGUUACUGACACUGAGGAGCGAAAGCAUGGGGAGCGAACAGG